UACGUAGGGUGCGAGCGUUGUCCGGAAUUAUUGGGCGUAAAGGGCUCGUAGGCGGUCUGUUGCGUCGGGAGUGAAAACUCAGGGCUUAACCCUGAGCCUGCUUCCGAUACGGGCAGACUAGAGGUAUGCAGGGGAGAACGGAAUUCCUGGUGUAGCGGUGAAAUGCGCAGAUAUCAGGAGGAACACCGGUGGCGAAGGCGGUCUCUGGGCAUUACCUGACGCUGAGGAGCGAAAGUGUGGGGAGCGAACAGG
rnacentral:rRNA from 1 species